CUUAUGUCCCGUCGAGGCCGGUUAGCCAGGUCUGAACUUGAUUGUGCUGAAGCAUCGUUGUUCCCUGUGACUUGCAUUGCCAUAAGAAACCAGAACUUCUCGACCCCCACGCCGCCGCCAACCUCGAUCACCCACAACGCCACAACAUUUGCUGACAUUGUGAGGUUUGGGAGGACUAGGAUGGAUGGGGAAGGUCAACGCAGAGGAGGUUUUAGGGCACCUGGAGUCAUUGGCAGAUCUGGAGGUGGCUUUGGUUUCGGCAAUCGCGUGGAGGGGUUCACCUCGGGAGGCUUUGGGCAGGCGUAUGGUCCAAAUGGUGCGGGGCGAAUUUCUGGCCAACACCUAGGUCCUCAGUUCGGAUUUGGUGCCGUUGGACACAACAACAGGGUGCCGCAAAACUCCCAGCAAACAAUAGUUUUUGGACAUGGACAGCAGCAACCUGCCUCGUUCUCAGUUGGAGGAGCUCAACAUGGUACACAACAGGUUGGUGUUGGGGGACAGAAACAUGAUUAUCAUAAUCAGCGCUACAAGGAUAAUUCUGGGUCUGGUCGACAGGUAGAAAGAGGUUUUUGGCCAAAGCAGCAUGCUAACAGGGGCCGGGCCCCAUUCUCCAAAGGUCCAAGUUUCAACCAUAUUGCAGCUAGUGGUUCUGAAGGUCUUCAAAAGGGGUUGGGCAGACAUUUACAACAUAAUAGUGAUGGAGGUUCAAGUGGCAUUGGGGACAACAUGAUUUUGAUGGAUAAAACUGCCUCUAAACGUUCCUUUCAGGAAGUUGAAGAAAACAGGCCACCCUCUAAAAAGGUUGAAGUAUUAGUUGAGACCAAGAAAGAGGCGAGUAAACCACAAGGGGAAUUGUUUGAAGUGGCAGAAGUGUCAGCAAAAGGGAGGGGUAAGUGGUGUUUUCGAUGCAGGACAAAGGGCCAUGUGUCAGUGGAAUGCACUACAAUCUUGUUUUGCCAAUUGUGUGAAAGUGAUGACCAUGUCGCUGCUAUAUGCCCAAUAAAGAAAAAACCUCGUCUGAUGGCUUACUCGGUGGGUUAUGCGAUGGAUGGUCUGGGCUUCUACCAUAUCCCCCAUGGCCCUAUUUCCAUGUCAAAAAAGGAUAAUACUUUGGCUUUGAUCACAUUUAUGGGAGGCGAGCUUAAGGAAGCUGAACUUGUUGCUCAUAUGGAGAGGUUAAUUCCAGGAAAACACGGUUGGGAUGUUCAGUUGCAUGCCCCAAAUACUUGGGUGGCUAAUUUCCCAUCUAAAGCUGAAUUGAAGCGAACUGUAACAUUUGGGUCUGCUGAUCUUAAGAAUGGAUUACUUCUGAAAUUCGAAGAGUUUGAGGAGGAAGAGUAUUGUGGAGAAGAGCUACCAAGGGUGUGGAUGCGUGUAUUAAACCUCCCAAAAGGGUUAAGAACAUAUGAGGUUCUAUGGGCGAUUGGGACGAUGUUUGGUGCCACAACUAAGGUGGAUAUGAUUACUACAAGGAAAAAUACCUUUGGAAGAUUUGAGGUUGCAGUUCUCAAUGCUAGCAUUGUGCCCAAUCAAAUGGAGGUCGUUAUUGGAACUCGUUGGUUUGAGUUGGUUUUUGAGAUAGAAGGAGAAAUUGGUGAAGCUAUGGAACCAAUUACUCAUAGGGAGAAUGGUAAUGAGGGGGAUCAUGGGAAUGCCGAUAGAAGGGACACCACUAUGGAGGAGAAUAACUCCAAAGCAAAAGACACAAAUGGCAAUUCUUGGGCUGCACCUUCCUUUGCUAGCAACAGAAGGGACGUAGGAAAGGGUGUCCAGAUGGACGAUGGUGCUCUGGAUGAUUUUGAUGAGGAUGACCUGCUCGAGGAUGAGGUGAUGGAACAAUCUCCUGCUGUUUCACCAAAAUAUGCAGUCCUUAGUGCUGUUCUUGAUGCAGGCUUAGGUGAGCAGGCCAAACAGCCAUCUGGACAGCAUGACUGUGAGAUGCAGGAGGGCUGUAAUUCAAAGCCUGGUUUGGUGGAGCAUAGCAAAGUGCCUAGGGACGAUUGCAGCAAAAUGAAAGAAGCUACUGCGACUUUGGGACACCAAUUGAAGUGUGAUGGUCAGCAGUCUGACGCCAGCUUUAGCUCUGAAGUUGCUCUUCCAGUGAUACCCAAGCCGGUAAAAGUCCUCAAUAAAAUUUCUGCAGCCUUGCCAAAAAGGAGAAGCAAGAGGCGGGAAGCAGAAGUAGAUGAGGACAUGCUGGAACGUGCGAAAAGAGUGGUGGCGAAGAAAAAUCUUGAUGGACCGGAAGGUCACUUUCAGAGGGACACAUUGGACAAGGUUCUGGACACUGUUGCAGAAGGAGGAGGACAGACCUCAAGUAAAAUGGGCCUGUCGUGUGCUUGAAACAACAAUGAUGGAGAUCUUUUCAAAUAAUGGAUGGUCUUUUUUUCAUAGAUUGAGAGCAUAGUUUGAGAGCUUAAAUUUAUGAAACCUUUGUAGAAUGUAAGAUUUCGUUCCAAUGUGGAACCCCAUGUUUGUGAGUUUGACAGCCGAAUGUAU
rnacentral:misc_RNA from 1 species